UUUUUGUAGGUGAACCUACGGAAGGAUCAUUGUCGAUGCCUAAAACAUCAAACGACCCGCGAACGCGUUUCAUGAAACAUCCGCACUGGAGGGGGGAUUGGAGCGUUCUCACCCCGCCCCCUUCCGGUGCGAACCUCAACCAAACCUCGGCAUAGGUCGCGCCAAGGAACUCCAACGAAUGAGCAUGCCCCCAAUCCUAUCUCAGUGUGCGGAGGGCAGAACAUUCUUGUCGUAUGUAUUACGCACAACGACUCUCGGCAACAGAUAUCUCGGCUCUAGCAUCAAUGAAGAACGUAGAGAAAUGCGAUACUUGGUGUGAAUUGCAGGAUCUCGCAAACCAUCAAGUUUUUGAACACUAGUUGCGCCUGGAGCUAUCUGGCUGAGGGCAUGUCUGCAUGGGCGUCACGCACCGUUGCCCCCCUCUAGCAACCCCGCACCAUGCGUGCGUCAGUUCGUUGCUACAGUCAGGGACACACGCUGGUCUCCCUUGCGCACCGUCACACGGAUGGCUUGAAUUCAAGUCGUUGGUGCCUGUCGCCGCGACGCUACGGUGGUUGAUCAAACAUCGGUACCGCAUACCGGCUGCAGCCCGUGCACGUCUUCCUCCUAGUGAAUGAGCAAGGGAAACAACGAGGCCUUCUUAGACCGACCCUGCGAACGUCGUCCCCUAGAAAGACAGCGCUCUAGACGCGACCCCAGGUCAGGCGAGAGUACCCGCUGAGUUUAA
rnacentral:rRNA from 1 species